rnacentral:misc_RNA from 1 species
GAUGAAGAACGCAGCGAAAUGCGAUAAGUAAUGUGAAUUGCAGAAUUCAGUGAAUCAUCGAAUCUUUGAACGCACAUUGCGCCCAUUAGUAUUCUAGUGGGCAUGCCUGUUCGAGCGUCAUUAAGUCCACUUAAGCCCUGCUUAGUGUUGGGAGACUGCUCCAGCGGUGCUACCCUGUAGCUACCCUGCAGCUCCUCAAAGACAGCGGCGGAGUUGUGGUAUCCUCUGAGCUUAGUAACUUGUUCUAGCUUUCGAGUACACCACUUCCCCUGCCGUAAAACCCUUAAUUUUUAAUGGUUGACCUCGGAUCAGGUAGGAAUACCCGCUGAACUUAAGCAUAUCAAAUAAGCGGAGGA